AAACCAGUGACCAGGAAGAAAUGAGUUUAACCUCACUCAACAUCCAAUGAAGCUCGUCCCUAGCUUCCGAUAUCCUCUCUCUGUCAUUACUACUGACCACAAAGAUAAGUCCCUGGGUGUUUUGAAAAUAGUGUCUCCACAGGGAUCUUACCUAACAAUUACCCCUCGAAAACCCACGAUGCAAGGUCUUUCUUCUCCUUCACACUCAGAUCAGGCACUUUCCCGCCCGUCCUUGGCUGCCCAUAGGCCAGUUCUGGCACUUCUUCUUUCUCUUCUUCUAGAAGCUCGCUGCCCGCAUAUCCGUCGUGGCCGUCGUCUUCGCCGAAGAUCUCCCCCUGAGGAACCACAUCUGUCGAGGCCUCCGGAUGCAGAGAUGGUGUUUGAGUGAAUGCUGCAAUGGACGAGGAAGAGGAGAGAGGAUGACAACAAGCGAGGCGAGAAGGAA